UUUGGCAGGAGGCUGAAAAAUAACAUAGAGAAUAAACAUUUUCAGUUCUUCUGAAGUUGUUCAAAAGCAAAGUGGCCAAAUUUGAAAGGGAUGUGUUAUAGAUGGAUAAUGAGAUGAUUUGCUCUCACAGUUAAGGGAUGAAUAAUGUAUGAAUGUUAAUAGAAGCUUUAUUGAUGUAUAAUUAUGUUAUUGUAGUCUGAUGUUUAGAUGUCCCAUGUUCUCCCCAUAGUCCCCUUCUCCCCCCUGUCUGUUAUUGCCAUCAGAGAGCCUGAGUCAUCUAGGACAGGGAGAAAGAAGGGGUGUACAAAAGCUUUUUGCUGGGGAGGGGGAGGUGCAGCAUGACAACACCUGACCCUCCAGUCAAGUUGCAAGAAGGCAGGCUCCACCAAUAAACACAAAGAAAGGCUGACAGACAGACUUUGGGAGGGGCCAGGUUUAGCUGAUGCAACACCUGGGGUAUCAAAGGUGAAGCAUUCAUCUUGAAGAUGAGGAAGCCACGUGGUAGGCAGCCAUGAGGGAAGCUCCAGGCCUGCUUCUCCUUAUUGAGUCCUUCUGUUGCAGUUUUUGUUAAGGUUUAAUAAACCUUUAAAAAUUUUAAAAAGUGGGCGGUUAUUUCUCACAGGAUGUAAAGGCUGGCACACAGGAUGAUAAAUGUGGCAGGAACCAGUGCAGGAACAGAUGAGGAGGCCUGCAGUGAUUCUGGGAGUGAAGAGCAGAGGAGGAGCAGAGCCCUGAUCCCAUGCCAGGCUCUGAAGCAGCUGCCUGUGUGUGAGAGCCCUGGAGAACACGAGGCAGCAGGAGAACAGGGGCUGUGGCAGGAGCUGGGACAGAGCCCGCGCCGGACGCUGCUCGGGCUCACCCCACAGGCUGCGCUCCCCUUUCCCAAGGGACCAUUCCAGGGAAUCUCCUGAAGAUCCCGGCCCAGGGACAGCAGCUGGAGGGUGGGAGGUGAGGUGAGUGCAGUGCGGGGAAGCUCUCCAGGCUGCGAGAGGAAACAAGGUCAGACUCUUCUCUUCCACCAGAAUCAGGGCUCCCUCAUUGUGUGGAACCUGGUUAUGGAUUUUGGGGGCAGAAUUGAGGUCUGUAGGGAAUUAAAAGCUGGAAAUAUUGUGGGAAAAGGGAGGGAAUAUUGAAACGGGUGUCCUGCUGAAGGAAUCCAGCAGCUCAGUGAUAUCAACUGACACCUGAGAGUCCAGCUCAGAUCCAUCCCAAAGCCAUUUGUUCUCUGAUAUCUCCAUGGGCAAUCCUCUCCUUCUCCAAUUGUUUUCCUGCUCCAGCUCUGUCCUGUCCACAUCCAGGCUGGACGUAUCUCCCUGGCUUUCUCAGUGCUCACCCUGACCUGUUCUGCUCUGGCCCUGCUGGCCAGGCUCCUGUGCUGCUCAUGGGAACAGCUCCCAGGGAAGCUCUGUGCCCUGCUCCUGCUGCUCCUGUCAUCUCCUUCCCCUUCUUCACUGCUCAUUUUGGGCACUGGCUCCUGCUGAGGGCGUUUGACUUCUCUGUCUUUGCCCCCAGCACCUCUCUCCUGCUCGCCUGUGCCAAGAGCAGUGCCCACCCUCUGAUUUACUUCCUGGCUGGGAGCUGUGCAAAGGAAUUCACCCCUUCUGUUAGUGUUGCCUUGCAGAGGGCUUUUGAGGAUGUGCCAGAGCCAUGGAAUAGGGACAACACAGUGGAACCAUCAUCAGGUGGAAUCAUCAUGAAACAGAGGCAUCAUAAAAUAGAGCCAUAAAAUAUCCAGAGUUGGAAGGGACCUACAAAAAUCAUGGAGUUCAGCUCCUGGCCCUGCACAGGCCAUCCCAACAAUCCCAGCCUGUGCCUGUGAUCAUUGUGCAAAUGCUCCUUGAGCUCUGUCAGGCUGGUGCUGUGUGCAGCAGGGGAACUCCUGCCUGGGGUGGAUGCUGGAUGUCAUGAGGAAUCAUCAUGGAAUGGUUGUGUCUUGGUUUAGGGUAAAUUUGGGAGGAAACCUCCAAAUGGGAUCCCUCUAGAAAGCGAAUUCAAGCAGCCCCUCCUCCAGCUGGUUCAGGAAAAGAUUUCCUUAGAGAAAAGUGGAAAAAACUGUUGAUUUAAAAAGGAAAGUAUUCGUAAGCAUAAGAAAUGAAAACAAUAUUAAUCAAUAAAAUCUCUUGCUGUUCUGAAGAAAACAGAACGUCAGAAGAAAACAGAAAUUCAGAAAGUCCUUGUUGUGGAGUUUAGUUUGGCUCACUCAGUCUCUGAUCAGUCCCUCUGGUGCUGGAAAAUGCUGUGUCCCAGGCCUUGGUGGGCCACAGGUGUGAGCUCCUGGUGCUCUUCUGGGUUUUCAGUCCAGAGCAGGUUUGAAUAGUUCCAAGAAAAAGAAAACCCCAGUGCAGGGAACUUCUCUGCCUCAGCUGGCUAAAAAACCUAAAAGCAAAGGAGAGCUCUCUGUGUCAUGUCUGUGCUGCAGACAGCACGGUCUGGGAGCAGGACUGUGGAGGAGUGAGCGCAGCUUCUGCAAACAAACUGCUGCAUCUUCUCUCCCCCUCUUUGCUCAAGUGUUGGGGAAGGUGGAACAGGAAAGCCUUACAAAUAUGAUUGCCUGGCAAAAGAUUUUGUGAAUAUAGAAACUAAAAGCGAGAUUGAAAUGAAAGCAAGCUUUGAGAUUCCUUAGUUACUGAACAUUGGGAGAACAAUGGUGUGGCUGGCUGAAGGUAAUCCCCUUUUGAUGAUACAAGGCCCUCUGCAAGCCGGCAGGUCCAAGGGUCCGAGCAGACCCUGCCAGUUUGGUAGAAGGGGUCUGAAGAGUAGUUUUUAGGGUUUAAAAUGUAGCACAGUAUGGUAAUGUAGUGAUUCUUCUAGGCUGGAUGUAAAUGCUAUAGGAUUUGUGUGUGGUACUAGAUUGGUUAAUGAGAAUCAGAAUAUUCAACACAGAAGAUGAUUUAUUGUAUUGUAAUGGGAACUUCGCACUCUUACUCUUACUCUUGCUCUCUUACUCUUACUUACUUUUCUAUGCUCUUAGCUCCUGCCUUUUACAUUAUUACCCUCUCAUCCUCUUUACCCCUCUCUUCUCUCGGGCCUGCUCCGAGCUGCAGCUGGCAGCUCCCAGCAGGGCCCUGUACCCACGCCCUUUGCAAUAAACCCCAAGUUCCAUGACCUGGCUUCAGAGAUCUCUCGUCUCCGUCCAUCCCGACCGUGCAACCCCCGUCUCGCCUACACUCAAGAACCUGUCUUAAAUGAGCAAAACCUAUUUCUGGGCUAAACAGAUGAAUGGGGAUACAAUUCAGCAUCAUAAAGUCAGCCAGGACAGGUUGGAAGGAACAGUAGAGAUCAUCUGAUUCCAUCUCUCCUCCUGCCAUGGAAGGACAGCCAGGAAAACUUUUGCUUUGAAGUCUUGGUCUUUUGAAGGGAAGCUCAGGUAGGGGGUGGCCUGGGUGACCCAGGAGACAAGGAAGGUGUUGGGAAGCAGAAAAAGUAGAUGGAAGGAUAAUGGUCCUUCUGCACUUGCCUUGGGAGGGACGCCCUGGCUGAGUUAUUCGUCUCUGGACAAGAGGUUAUACCUUGGAAAGUCUUGUCUUCCCAAAGGACAGGAAAAUGGGAGUCAGGGAGAGAAAAACCCUAUCAGAUGUCAAAGCCUCUUCUGUAAUUAUUAAAAAUUCUGUGAAUAAAUGCUCCUUAGGUGUUUAACGUCAUGUGUUUCUCCACAGCCUGACUCAGCAUCCACGGCUUUCACUCUCACUUCUCUUUCCAGAAGCAGUGGCACGUUGCUUUCCCCUGGAUUUAAGGCAGUGGGAAAAGGAGGGACAACUUUCCCCUGAGCAAGAGAUGUGGCUGCUGCCCAGGUCUCUCCCAGGAGGAAUGAGGAGCUCUUGGCCCUGCCAACAUCAUCCCAAGCUUUGCAGGCACGUGCCUUAGGAAGGGCUCUUUUAUGAGACAGGUACCUGCCCUGCUCAGAGACCAGCCAGAGGCUUUAGAAUGGGAUAAAAGAAGGAAAUGAGCCAUUUUGGACACUGUUUAACAGAGACAGGCUCUGCAGUGAAGCCUGGAUGUUGUUUAUUCAACAAAUUCAGAGGCUGGAACCACCACAGUGGAAAGAAACCAAAACCAUGAAUCCAAAUCUGGUUGAGGGGUGGUUACAGAAUGACAAAGAUCAGGACAGGCUGGGCUGUGGCUGAAGCUGCUGUGCAGAGUGGCUGUGCAGCUCCUCCUGAGGGUGGCCAGGUUCAGGAUGGAGGUGGUCAAGGGCUUCCUUGGGCACUGAUGCUGGGGAACCAGAGGAUGGAGGGGCCCAUUCUGCAGAAGAGCAGCACAACCCCCUAGUCUCUGUGCAACUAAAUGUUCCAAGCAUCUGGUGAUGGGAAUUUCCAUAUUCCAUGUACUUUCUGGUACAGGCACAAGAGUUUAGUGGAGUUCGCUAUCGACCCUGCACUUUACUCAGAGGAUUUAAUUCUGAAAUUCAAGAAUGUGAAAAAUUCCCACUGAGAGGAUAAGGGAAUGUUGCUGUCCCUCCCCACCUCUGCAGCCCUACCUGGUGUCCCUUCCCAUCAGCUGGGAAUGCAGGGCUGGCUCUGCUCGACAGAAAGGGAAGGAUGCUCCGUGUGAUCCCAACCCCUCUCCUGCCAUCCAGAGGCACCAGCCCCACAGGGAUUUGGGAAAUCACUGCCACCCAGUGCUGGGUGUGUCCCCAGGGAUUAAAGUGUCCCAUUCUUUGCAGGCAAGAGCUUCCUGAUAACACCAUGAAACUCAUCUGCUGAGCCCAAGGAGAUGGAGUUGAUUCCCUGGGGCUGAGGCCAUGAGGGUCAUUCCAUGGGGAAUAGAGCUGGGGAACAGCACUGAGCCCAGCUGCACUGCUUGGAGUCAUGUGGAUCCAGGAGCGGCGAGGAAAGCCAUGCUCCAAUGUGCUCCCAUUCUCCAGAGCAUCCCACAAAAAUCACCCUAGGCAAUGCCCCUGAUCCCUUCUCCUGCAGGAAUACACCUCCAUGUGUGUCACCGACAUGUUUUAUGAAAAAUCCUUUCUUUAGGAUUUUUCCCUCUUGAGAAGCUGAGAGGCCUCAAGAACAAACUGUAAACAAUUCUUAUCUGCUGCUGUGGAAUGCAACAAGGGGAAUCUGUGAUUGGUCUCAUCUGGUUGUUUCCAAUAAAGGGCCAAUCACAGAUCACCUGUCCAGACUGUCUCGGUCAGAGACAAGCCUUUGUUAUUCAUUCCUUUUCUCUUCUUAGCUUAGCCUUCUGAUGAAAUCCCCUCUUCUAUUCUUUUAGUAUAGUUUUAAUAUAUUAUCUAUCAUAAAAUAAUAAAUCAAGCUUUCUGUUA